rnacentral:misc_RNA from 1 species
GAAAUGCGAUAAGUAAUGUGAAUUGCAGAAUUCAGUGAAUCAUCGAAUCUUUGAACGCACAUUGCGCCCGCCAGUAUUCUGGCGGGCAUGCCUGUCCGAGCGUCAUUUCAACCAUCAAGCCCCCGGGCUUGUGUUGGGGACCUGCGGCUGCCCGCAGGCCCUGAAAACCAGUGGCGGGCUCGCUGUCACACCGAGCGUAGUAGCAAUCACCUCGCUCAGGGCGUGCUGCGGGUUCCGGCCGUUAAACAGCCUUACAAAACCCAAGGUUGACCUCGGAUCAGGUAGGAAGACCCGCUGAACUUAGGC